GAAGGGAGCUUGCUCCCGGAUGUUAGCGGCGGACGGGUGAGUAACACGUGGGUAACCUGCCUGUAAGACUGGGAUAACUCCGGGAAACCGGAGCUAAUACCGGAUAGUUCCUUGAACCGCAUGGUUCAAGGAUGAAAGACGGUUUCGGCUGUCACUUACAGAUGGACCCGCGGCGCAUUAGCUAGUUGGUGGGGUAAUGGCUCACCAAGGCGACGAUGCGUAGCCGACCUGAGAGGGUGAUCGGCCACACUGGGACUGAGACACGGCCCAGACUCCUACGGGAGGCAGCAGUAGGGAAUCUUCCGCAAUGGACGAAAGUCUGACGGAGCAACGCCGCGUGAGUGAUGAAGGUUUUCGGAUCGUAAAGCUCUGUUGUUAGGGAAGAACAAGUGCGAGAGUAACUGCUCGCACCUUGACGGUACCUAACCAGAAAGCCACGGCUAACUACGUGCCAGCAGCCGCGGUAAUACGUAGGUGGCAAGCGUUGUCCGGAAUUAUUGGGCGUAAAGGGCUCGCAGGCGGUUUCUUAAGUCUGAUGUGAAAGCCCCCGGCUCAACCGGGGAGGGUCAUUGGAAACUGGGAAACUUGAGUGCAGAAGAGGAGAGUGGAAUUCCACGUGUAGCGGUGAAAUGCGUAGAGAUGUGGAGGAACACCAGUGGCGAAGGCGACUCUCUGGUCUGUAACUGACGCUGAGGAGCGAAAGCGUGGGGAGCGAACAGGAUUAGAUACCCUGGUAGUCCACGCCGUAAACGAUGAGUGCUAAGUGUUAGGGGGUUUCCGCCCCUUNGUGUUGCAGCUAACGCAUUAAAGCACUCCGCCCUGGGGGAGUACGGGCCGCAAGAAUUGAAUACUCAAAUGGAAAUUUAU
rnacentral:rRNA from 1 species